UUAACUUUCGACCUACGUUCUCCACCUCGCGUGGGGAACCGAUACCAGUCGGCGACGCUACUGCUUUGAGUACUCUUAGGAUCAAGGAGUCUAACAUGUACGCAGAACAUCUCUCAUCGCGAGAAGAGGCGCACUCAGAGCAUAUACGGUGGAAUCCGAAAGAUGAUGCCUGAUCAGGAAGAAGUCAGGGGCAACCCUAAUGGAAUUCUGCAGCGAUUCUGACGAGCAAAUCGAUCGUCAGAAUUAUAGUAUAGGGGCGAAAGAUUAAUCGAACCAUCUAAUAGCUGGUUUUCUCCGAAAUUUCUCUCAGGAUAGCUGGCUCUCGGCCAUUCCGCACGAAACGCGUGCAAGUCUCAUAUAGUAAAGUGAAUGAUUAAAAAUCUUAAGAAAGACCUUGGAACCGAAACGAUCUCAAUCUAUUCUCAAACUUUUAAAUAGGUGAGAUCUCUGACUUUCUUGAAAUCACGAGAAUCUCGGAUCAGAAUGCCAAGUGGGUCAUUUUUGGUAAGCAGAACUGGAGCUGGAAUGAACCAAACGCAGAGUUAAGGCGCCCAACUCGACGCUCAUCAUCAUGAAAAGUGUUGGUUGUUUAAGACAGCAGGACGAUGGCCAUGUUUGAAUUCAUUAAUGAGCGUAUAAUAACUCACCUGUCGAAACAACUAGCUUUGAAAAUGAAUAUCGCUGAAGUGUCGAGCUUAUACUCAGCGGCAAGUGGGGCGUCGCCAUGAAGCCCAGAAGAAUCUGGGCAUGAGAGCCCAGACUGUCUAGAGCUACCGUCGGUGCAGAUCUUGGUGAUAGUAAUAAAUACUCCAAAGGCCCUGGAGGAUUGAUGUGGAAAAAAUUUCGUGUGAACAGGUCGUUGCACACGAGUCAGUUGAUCCUAAGCCCUAGGAGAAAUCCUAUGUCAAUGACGAUUCUCUAGUGUACUACUCGAGCGAUUCUGCAAAGAAGAGAGAGAGAGAGAGAGAGAGAGAGAGUGAAACACGCCCGUCGGGUGGAAGGGAAUCCGGCUCCUAUUCCGGAACUAGCAGCGGAACCGUAUAUAAUUCGGGCCAUCGUAAGAGUGUGUUCGUCAGAGUAACCCAAAAUGACCUGGAGAUCCGGGAAAAAUUUUCUUUUCUGUAUAAGCAUUCGAAUUCCUUGGAAAUCUCUAACAGGGAGAUAGGGUUUGGAAGAAGAUGCGAAGAACCGCAGUUGCGGCGGUGUCCGGAUCUUCUCCUCGGAAGAUUGACCUUGAAAAUCCAGGAGAAGGGCACAUCUAGGUGUCGCACCGGCUUAUACCUACAUCCGCAGCAGGUCUCCGAAAUAAAGAGCCUCGAUAGAUUAAUGUAGAUAGAUAAGGGAAAUUAUAAUAUAGGAAAUUAUAAUUAUAAGGGAAUAUUAUAUAAUUAUUAUAGAUAUCGGCAAAUUGAAUCCGUAACUUCGGAAUAAGGAUUGGCUCUAAGGAGCAGAACUUGUCAGGUUUGAUCGGGAAGCGGGUCUGACGUGGCGGGCCUGGGCGAGAUGAACGCUAGGGUGUUCUCACGCCGAUUCCGAGAUCCGAAUUCCCGUGCCUUGGCCUCUCAUGGAUCUUCCUUGCUGCAAGGCUUCCGUAGCGGCGGGCCGUCGUGGUCGCCUUCUUCGGCGGCCAUUCAAUGCUCAGCUCAGAUCUGACACAAACAAGGGCAAUCCGACUAAUUUCUAUCUAAUUCUAAUCUAAUUAAAACAAAGCAUUGCGAUAGUCCUCAUGGGUGUUGAUGCAAUAUGAUUUCUGCCCAGUGCUCUGAAUAUCAACGUGAAGAAAUUCAAGCAAGCGCAGAUAAACGGCGGGACUAACUAUAACUUUUUUAAGAGUUCUCGCAAUUCCUAUCAUUAUGACGACGGCGGUUGCUCUCACUAUCGCACAGUCUAAUCGACUGUACGAAAAACCAGCCUUGCCAAAUCUUAUCAUCAGCCAGCCUAACCAAAAUGAAAAAACA
rnacentral:ncRNA from 1 species